UACGUAGGGACCAAGCGUUGUCCGGAGUCAUUGGGCGUAAAGAGCGUGUAGGCGGCUUGUUAAGUCUUGCGUGAAAUCUCGGGGCUCAACCCCGAGCGGUCGUGAGAAACUGGCAGGCUAGAGUGCGGGAGAGGAGAGUGGAAUUCCUGGUGUAGCGGUGAAAUGCGCAGAUAUCAGGAGGAACACCGGUGGCGAAGGCGGGUCUCUGGGCAGUAACUGACGCUGAGGAGCGAAAGCGUGGGGAGCGAACAGG
rnacentral:rRNA from 1 species